CUAGUUGGUAAGGUAACGGCUUACCAAGGCAAUGAUGCAUAGCCGAGUUGAGAGACUGAUCGGCCACAUUGGGACUGAGACACGGCCCAAACUCCUACGGGAGGCAGCAGUAGGGAAUCUUCCACAAUGGACGAAAGUCUGAUGGAGCAACGCCGCGUGAGUGAAGAAGGGUUUCGGCUCGUAAAGCUCUGUUGGUAGUGAAGAAAGAUAGAGGUAGUAACUGGCCUUUAUUUGACGGUAAUUACUUAGAAAGUCACGGCUAACUACGUGCCAGCAGCCGCGGUAAUACGUAGGUGGCAAGCGUUGUCCGGAUUUAUUGGGCGUAAAGCGAGUGCAGGCGGUUCAAUAAGUCUGAUGUGAAAGCCUUCGGCUCAACCGGAGAAUUGCAUCAGAAACUGUUGAACUUGAGUGCAGAAGAGGAGAGUGGAACUCCAUGUGUAGCGGUGGAAUGCGUAGAUAUAUGGAAGAACACCAGUGGCGAAGGCGGCUCUCUGGUCUGCAACUGACGCUGAGGCUCGAAAGCAUGGGUAGCGAACAGGAUUAGAUACCCUGGUAGUCCAUGCCGUAAACGAUGAGUGCUAAGUGUUGGGAGGUUUCCGCCUCUCAGUGCU
rnacentral:rRNA from 1 species